rnacentral:rRNA from 1 species
UGGAUCCAGACUCUGAUUCUGGCUCAGGACGAACGCUGGCGGCGCGCCUAACACAUGCAAGUCGAACGAGAGAUGAGGAGCUUGCUCUUCAAAUCGAGUGGCGAACGGGUGAGUAACGCGUGAGGAACCUGCCUCAAAGAGGGGGACAACAGUUGGAAACGACUGCUAAUACCGCAUAAGCCCACGGCUCGGCAUCGAGCAGAGGGAAGAGGAGUAAUCCGCUUUGAGAUGGCCUCGCGUCCGAUUAGCUAGUUGGUGAGGUAAUGGCCCACCAAGGCGACGAUCGGUAGCCGGACUGAGAGGUUGAACGGCCACAUUGGGACUGAGACACGGCCCAGACUCCUACGGGAGGCAGCAGUGGGGAAUAUUGCACAAUGGGGGAAACCCUGAUGCAGCGACGCCGCGUGGAGGAAGAAGGUCUUCGGAUUGUAAACUCCUGCUGUUGAGGAAGAUAAUGACGGUACUCAACAAGGAAGUGACGGCUAACUACGUGCCAGCAGCCGCGGUAAAACGUAGGUCACAAGCGUUGUCCGGAAUCACUGGGUGUAAAGGGAGCGCAGGCGGGAGAACAAGUUGGAAGUGAAAUCCAUGGGCUCAACCCAUGAACUGCUUUCAAAACUGUUUUUCUUGAGUAGUGCAGAGGUAGGCGGAAUUCCCGGUGUAGCGGUGGAAUGCGUAGAUAUCGGGAGGAACACCAGUGGCGAAGGCGGCCUACUGGGCACCAACUGACGCUGAGGCUCGAAAGUGUGGGUAGCAAACAGGAUUAGAUACCCUGGUAGUCCACACCGUAAACGAUGAUUACUAGGUGUUGGAGGAUUGACCCCUUCAGUGCCGCAGUUAACACAAUAAGUAAUCCACCUGGGGAGUACGACCGCAAGGUUGCAACUCAAAGGAAUUGACGGA